rnacentral:rRNA from 1 species
AUUGAAAGCUAGCGGGAUGCCUUACACAUGCAAGUCGAACGGAGUGGCGAACGGGUGAGUAAUGGAUCGGAACGUGCCCAGUAGCGGGGGAUAACUACGCGAAAGCGUAGCUAAUACCGCAUACUAGUGGAGCGGCCGUGAUCGGAUUAUCUAGUUGGUGGAGUAACGGCGCCCCACGGCGACGAUCCGUAGCUGGUUUGAGCGGACGACCAGCCACACUGGGACUGAGACACGGCCCAGACUCCUACGGUAGGCAGCAGGGGGGAAGUUGGGACAAUGGGGGAAACCCUGAUCCAGCCAUCCCGCGUGUGCGCUGAAGGCCUUCGGGUUGUAAAGCACUUUUGGCAGGAAAGCGGUACCUGCAGAAUAAGCACCGGCUAACUACGUGCCAGCCGCCGCGGUAAUUC